UGGGGAAAAUUUAAAGAUCAAAGUAGAGACCGGAGGACAUUUGAACUUGGAAGUCGAGGAAAAAAAAGCAUCAGGAGGCAGGAAAGAUUUCUACCAGAUGAAUUAAAUAUUCCUAGGAAAAAAGUUAUCACCUUGGCUAGUUAUUUGCUCAUAGUUUUGAAGCUUUGUAGAAUUAAUUGAAUGGCUUUUGAACACAUGCUGAAUUCCCUGGCUUUGAAAAUGAACG
rnacentral:lncRNA from 1 species